UACGUAGGGUGCGAGCGUUAAUCGGAAUUAUUGGGCGUAAAGCGCGCGUAGGCGGUUACUUAAGUCGGAUGUGAAAGCCCUCGGCUUAACUGAGGAAGUGCACCCGAAACUGAGUAGCUAGAGUACUAAAGAGGGUCGCGGAAUUCCCGGUGUAGAGGUGAAAUUCGUAGAUAUCGGGAGGAACACCGGUGGCGAAGGCGGCGACCUGGGUAGAGACUGACGCUGAGGCGCAAAAGCGUGGGGAGCAAACAGG
rnacentral:rRNA from 1 species